CUGUACCCUUUUCUUCUUUUGGUGCAGGUGCGACUCUGUUCGAAAAGUAGGUACUUAAGCCAGAUGGAAAAAUUGUGGGAGUUAAAACGAGAGCCAACCUAGCUUUUGAAGGAGAGGAAGUCCAGCUAAUCAAAGGUGUCCUGGACCUAGAUCUCCUGUUUUCUCAGGUGGUGAUUGAAUUAGAAAAAGGACCGUAAGGAGCAGCAGCUUCGAAUAUGAAUGAGGGUUCUUCCCAUCAACAGUAAGGGUUUGUCCAUCUUAUUUUUUUUAAUUUUAUUUAUGAAUUUUACGAUUUUUUUCAUGGAAUUGUCAGAGGUGCGCUAACGUUAAGUUUCCAAGAAUUUUUCGUGAAUAUAACAUGGAUUAUAAGUCAGAUAUUGUUAGCUUAUUAGAACCGAAAGUUAGUUGAGUAAAAGCCAAUAACAUUAUAGCAAAGUUGGGUUUUCAGUGCUCUCAUCAAGUUAAAGAGAUUGGAUACUCAAGGGGUAUUUGGUUGGGAUGGAAAGAUUGCAUUCGGCUUGAGGUGGUUCAUAGUCAUCCUCAGUUCAUCUUGACUCACAUAUGGUCUGUUUCUUCUACUCUACCGGUUCUUGUCUCUUUCGUAUAUGGGAGUCCUAAUCGGCAGAAGUGAAAAGAUCUUUGGAAGGAUUUGAGUAUGAUGAUUCUGUUAAGACCCAUUCCUUGGAUUGCUAUUGGAGAUUUUAAUGUUAUUUUAUGUCCUAACGAGAAAUUGUGGGGUAAUUCUAGUGGGAGAAGGUGUCCUCAAUUUGGUGAUUUUGUAAACAUGGCUGAGCUCCAAGAUUUAGGUUUUAAGGGCCCUGCUUUUACCUGGCACAGAGGAGGCCUUUUUGAGAAAUUGGAUCGUGUGUUGGGUAAUGUUAAUUGGGUGCGUAAAUUUCUGAAUUGCUUGGUUACUUAUCUUCCGAAGAUUAAGUCGGAUUACAGAACCCUUCUCUUAUCUGUUAAUCCAAAGUCAAACUUACCUAGAGGAAUGCCUUUCUAAUUUUUGGCUAGGUAGGUUGAACAUCCUGAUUUUGAGAAUUUUGUGGGUGUCAGUUGGAAUUUUAGCGGGAAUAUGUCUGACGCUUUGACUAAGUUUACUUCUAAACUUAAGGAUUGGAACAAAUCAAUUUAUGGUCACAUCAUCGUUCGUAAGAAAAUUUUGAUCAAUAAACUAACAGAUAUUCAGCGGCGCAUGGAUUCUCAUGGUUUAAAUCAGUUAGCUCAAACCGAAAUGAGUGUUAGACAGGAGUUGAAAAAUGUGCUUUAUCAUGAAGAACUCAUUUGGAAAUAAAAGUCGAGAUGCGAUUGGCUAAAGAUGGGUGAUCAUAACACAAAGUUUUUUCACGCACGUACACUAUAAAGAAGGAAAUCAAGUCGUAUUACUGUUAUCCGUAACUCUAGUGGUGAUUGGAUUUAUGAUACAGAGAUCAUUGAGUUAGGGGUGAACGAUUUCUUUCAAAAUUUGUAUAGAGAGGUCCCUGGGCCUAUGGGGAGUUUUCUUGCUAGUAGAUUCCCACUAUUGGACUCUAUUGAUGUGGAUUUUUUGGGAAAAUCUGUCACAAAUGAUGAGAUUAAGACUACUCUUUUUGACAUGGCUCCGCUUAAAGCACCGGGCAGUGAUGGUUAUCAUGCCCUUUUCUUUCAAAAGUAAUGGAACAGGGUUGGAGGAGUUGUCUAUACCUGGGUGAAAGCGGUUUUUAAUGGGGGAACAUUGAUUCUAAUUUGAAUAAUACUUUGAUUGUCCUCAUACCUAAAGUCUCCAACCUGAAAAGUUUUGCUCAGUUUCGCCCUAUAAGUCUUUGUUCGGUCUUUUAUAAACUGAUCAUGAAGGUAAUAGCUAAUCGUUUCAAAUGUGUUUUUCCUAAAAUUAUUACAUAGGAACAAGUUGGAUUUAUUGCAGGAAGGAACAUCAUAGAUAAUAUUAUAAUUGCGUAAGAGGUGGUUCAUUCUAUGCAAAGUAACAACAAGAGGAAGUGGAUGGCAAUCAAGAUUGACUUCGAGAAAGCCUAUGGUCGUGUCAGAUGGGACUUCAUUAAGGUCUCUCUCAAGGCGGCAGGUAUCCCAGAGUAUCUUGGAAAUUUGACUAUGUCUGCUAUCUCUAACUCCACGAUGCAAGUUUUGUGGAAUAGAGUUUCACUGUCUAAAUUCUGGCCUGCCAAGGGUAUUCGUCAGGGUUGCUCGCUUUCUCCUUAUCUAUUUGUGCUUUGUAUGGAAUGGCUCGGUCAUUAUUUUAAAUCGACUAUUUCUAAUAGUAUGUGAACCCCCAUCCGUUUGUCACAUUCGUGACCGACCCUCUCCCACCUAUUCUUUGCAGUUGAUUUAGUCAUUUUCAGCAAAGCAAAUUUGGAGCAUGGUAGGAUACUCAAUAAGAUGUUGGGGGUUUCUGUGAAGUUUUCGGCCAUAAUAUUAAUGCUAGGAAAACAAACAUCUUUUUCUCUAAAUGGGUGGAGGAGUCUAUGGCUUACUUGAUCAGUUCCACACUUGGAUUCCAAAGAGUGCAAGAUCUUGGGCACUACCUAGGAGUUCCUGUUUUUCAUAAGAGAGUCACGAAUAGUAACAUGCAUUUUGUGGUUGAGAAGGUGCGUUGAAAGUUGUAGAGUUGGGAUGCUAGACAACUAUCUAUUGUCAGGCGGGUGACUUUAGCGCAGUCAGUCCUUAUGUCCAUUCUUAGCUACUUCAUGUAGUCCAUGAUGAUUCCUAGAUCAAUCUAUGACAAGAUUGAGAUUUUGGUGAAAAAAUUCAUUCGGGGUUCCUUUGAGGGAAAAAAAAGAUGUCUUUAGUUGGGUGGCAUUUUAUUUGCCAACCCAAAGAGUGUGGUGGUCUUCGGAUUAGAAAACUUCAAGAUCAAAAUAUAUCAUUCCUGCUGAAGCUUGGGUUUAAUAUAGUUUCAGAUAAUGAGACUUUAUGGGUCCAAGUAAUUAGGUCGAAGUAUCGGUUAAAUGAUAAUUUUUUAGAUUGUAUUGCACGAACUACGAGCUCUUUUCUUUGGAAAUCGCUCUCAAAGUUUGGCCUUUAUUAUAGGAAAAUCUAAUCUGGUCUGUGGGAAAUGGUGAUAGAAUUAGAUGUUGGACGGAUAAUUGGGUUCCGAGGGUAGGACCUUUGAUUCAACUUAUACCCGCCAAUGUCAAUAUUGAUUCUGAUUGUCUACUCAAUGAAAUGGUGAAUGAGAAAGGUUUGUGGAACCUAGAUCUCUUCAAAAUCUGGUUGUCGGGUGAUGUGGUACAACGUAUUAUGGGUAUCCCUCCUCUACACUCUUUUGAGGGGAAUGAUAGAGUUGGUGCCAUACCUCGACGGGGUUUUUUUUUGUCAAAAGUGCUUAUAGGAUUUUGACAGAAGAAUCUUGGAGUGCUAAAGAUGAUAAAUAAAAGUAUGCAUGGAAGUUGCCAGGUCCUCAAAGGGUUCAUUUUUUCUUAUGGACAGUUCUGAAACAAAGACUUCUUAUCAAUGUGGAAGGAGUUAAGUGGGGAUUAGCAGCUGAUUCCUCUUGUCCUUUUUGUGGUCAUGCUUCAAUAGAUAUUUUACAUAUUCUUAGAGACUGCACAACCGCUAAGGUAAUCUAGAGUCAGGUCAUCCAGGUAAGUCAUCGAACGAACUUUUUUUCGAAUAGUUUACAUGAUUAGAUCUAUUCUAAUAUGCAGGACACUACCAAGAGACACGAGGGAAGAGCCAAUUGGUCGUGCCUCUUUGGUAUACUUGCUUGGCGUUUAUGGCAGAACCGUAACUUUUUUAUAUUUCAAGGAAUAUCCUACAGUCCGGAGGAAAUAGUUAAAGUUUCGAGCAGCUAGGCUAAACAAUUUUUUUCUGACAUCAAUGCUGAUCCGAAUGGCUGAUGUGAGACUUACAUUGGAGAGUCAGCAAGUGAGAAAAGGCUUUUGUUGAAUACAGAUGGUGCUGUUCAAUUACAUACUGAUAAUGCAGCUGUUGGGGGAAUAGUGCGGGAUGAGACUGGAGAUUGAGUUUUUGGAUAUAAUAGAUAUUUAGAGAAAUGUUCAUUUUUUUAUGCAGAACUUUGAGUAAUUCUAGAUGGACUUAAAAUCAUUCAACGUAGAGGUUACGAUAAGGUGUUAAUUCAAUCUGAUAGCUUAGAAGUUGUGAAAGCCAUACAAUGAAGUUUUUCUAUUUCUUCGAACUCAGCUUUGAUGAGAAGGAUACAGAGCAUUUUGUCCCAAUAAGGUCAGUGGCUUUUGAUAUACAUCCCUAGAAAGCAAAAUCAAGUUGCAGACUGCUUAGAUAAGUUGGUUUGGUCAAGAAAGAGGAGUUGGCAAGUUUUAGAUUCUCCCCUUAUAGUGAGUUUAGCUUUUAUUGAUUCUAAUAAGAUAAGGGAUUUUGUUCUCUUCAGAAUAUUUUUAUGUAAUUUAGACUAGUAAUUAUUUAUUUCACCAAAAAUA